rnacentral:rRNA from 1 species
AUUGAACGCUGGCGGCAUGCUUUACACAUGCAAGUCGAACGGCAGCGCGGGCUUCGGCCUGGCGGCGAGUGGCGAACGGGUGAGUAAUGCAUCGGAACGUGCCCAGUAGUGGGGGAUAGCCCGGCGAAAGCCGGAUUAAUACCGCAUACGACCUGAGGGUGAAAGCGGGGGACCGAAAGGCCUCGCGCUAUUGGAGCGGCCGAUGUCGGAUUAGCUAGUUGGUGGGGUAAAGGCUUACCAAGGCGACGAUCCGUAGCUGGUCUGAGAGGACGACCAGCCACACUGGGACUGAGACACGGCCCAGACUCCUACGGGAGGCAGCAGUGGGGAAUUUUGGACAAUGGGGGCAAGCCUGAUCCAGCCAUGCCGCGUGCGGGAAGAAGGCCUUCGGGUUGUAAACCGCUUUUGUUCGGGAAGAAAUGCUCUGGGCUAAUACCCCGGGGGGAUGACGGUACCGGAAGAAUAAGCACCGGCUAACUACGUG